CCAAAAACGUGAAGCUGUACUUCGGAAUCGUCACGGAGUCGAUACGCAUCCACGUAUAUGCCUAGAUGUAGUGCAGUUUACAUGAUACCGCUACUGAUCAUUGAUGCAGCUAUUGCAAGGGUGAAUCCCGUGCAGGAAUGGUGGAUUGAGAUACAUGCGAGCGCCCUGGCCAAAUAGGCUCCGAAAGCUGGGAGAACAAGAUUGAAACUGUAUUCACGCCUAAAGAGUUAAUAUUUUUGGGGGCUUUUCCUAUAAAGAGCUAACCGGGAAGUUACCCCCUGGGAGUCCGUUCCAAAUUAAAAUCAAAGGAAUUACGGGACCCCCCCACCGGGGGUGAAUUGGAUUAAUUUGAGGCAACCGGAAAACCUUUCCUACCCCUACAUGGCGGGAUCCCGCUAGAAGGUGAGAGGGCUUUGAAAAGAAACCGGCGCACCGGUGCUGCAUGGGCUGUCGUCAGCCUCGUGUUCGUGAGAAUGUUGGGGUAAGUCCCGCAACGAAGCGCACCCCUUGUCCUUAAGUGCUACGCAAGAGCACUCUUAAGGAGACUGCCGGUGACAAACCGGAGGAAGGUGGGGAUGACGUCAAGUCCUCAUGGCCCUUAUGGGUAGGGCUUCACACGUCAUACAAUGGUCGGAACAGAGGGUUGCCAACCCGCGAGGGGGAGCUAAUCCCAGAAAACCGAUCGUAGUCCGGAUUGCACUCUGCAACUCGAGUGCAUGAAGCUGGAAUCGCUAGUAAUCGCGGAUCAGCAUGCCGCGGUGAAUACGUUCCCGGGUCUUGUACACACCGCCCGUCACACCAUGGGAGUGGGUUUACCAGAAGUGGCUAGUCUAACCGCAAGAGACGUCAUCAGCAGAGUACUUU
rnacentral:rRNA from 1 species